GGUUUCCUGCUGUAACAUAGCAAAAUAAUAAGCAGAAAAAUACAAAGAUAGUAAAGUUGAAUUGCAAGUACUUACCUCAUCCAUUACAACUUGAGAUGGACUUUGAUGUACACUAACGAAGUCUUACUCCUUCUCAAGGGGAUAGAUCAUCUUUUACCAAGAUAGGACAGCUUAUAUUCAUUAUAUCUUUUUAAUUGUACAACAUUACUGUAUAUACUGAGAUAAUUUUAACUGUUGUUUAAUUACUGUGUGGUGUGUAGACUGUUUUACCUGUAUUUUAGUGUAGUAUCAAGUUUAUUAUAACAAUAACAAUGACUAUUUAGCUAACUAUUAGGUGCGAUAAUGGCAGUAGUGACGUUAUUACUCUAAA